UACGUAGGGUGCGAGCGUUAAUCGGAAUUACUGGGCGUAAAGCGUGCGCAGGCGGUUCGUUGUGUCCGUCGUGAAAGCCCCGGGCUUAACCUGGGAACUGCGAUGGAAACUAGCGAGCUGGAGUGUGGCAGAGGGGGGUGGAAUUCCACGUGUAGCAGUGAAAUGCGUAGAGAUGUGGAGGAACACCGAUGGCGAAGGCAGCCUCCUGGGCCAGCACUGACGCUCAUGCACGAAAGCGUGGGGAGCAAACAGG
rnacentral:rRNA from 1 species